UACGUAGGCAGCGAGCGUUGUUCGGAGUUACUGGGCGUAAAGGGUGUGUAGGCGGUUCUUUAAGUUUGGUGUGAAAUCUCCCGGCUCAACCGGGAGGGUGCGCCGAAUACUGAGGGACUAGAGUGCGGGAGAGGAAAGUGGAAGUUCCUGGUGUAGCGGUGAAAUGCGUAGAUAUCAGGAGGAACACCGGUGGUGUAGACGGCUUUCUGGACCGUAACUGACGCUGAGACACGAAAGCGUGGGUAGCAAACAGG
rnacentral:rRNA from 1 species